rnacentral:rRNA from 1 species
UACAGAGGGCGCGAGCGUUGUCCGGAAUCACUGGGCGUAAAGGGCGCGUAGGUGGCCAGCAUAAGGCCGUGGUGAAAGUCCGGAGCUCAACUCCGGAUCUGCCGCGGCGACUGUGCGGCUUGGGCACUGUAGAGGCAGAUGGAAUUCCGGGUGUAGCGGUGGAAUGCGUAGAGAUGUGGAGGAACACCGAUGGCGAAGGCAGCCUUCUGGGCCAACACUGACGCUCAUGCACGAAAGCGUGGGGAGCAAACAGG